CCAGCAGCCGCGGUAAUUCCAGCUCCAAUAGCGUAUAUUAAAGUUGUUGCAGUUAAAAAGCUCGUAGUUGAAUUUCGGGAUCAAUAUGUUGGUCGUGCCUUGGUACGCACUGGCAUCUUUGGUUUCUACCUUCUGAUGAACCAUGAUGGCAUUAAUUUGGGGUCGUGGGGAAUCAGGACUGUUACUUUGAAAAAA
rnacentral:rRNA from 1 species